UAACUAAACCAACAUUGGCAUUUAGGAUGUGAGCUUGAACUGCUAUGAAGUGAUCAAGGGGAGCUGGGCAGAACUCAAGGCGAUGUUGACUCAGAAACAAGCCUCGGCCGAACUAAGCAAAGCUUUUCGAACUGGCGAGAGCCUUCGUUCAACGGCUUCUGCCCAGGAUUGGCUAUGGACUGUUUUUGUUUAUACGGCCAUGGUCAAUUAUCCGGCCGAAGCGAAUUUCAUGAAGCCAUUGCCUGCUUAUCCUGUGGACAGCAGAUGUGCGAGAUAAUCGAUGAAUUUUCAUCAGGGGCAACGAAGCUUCGUCGUGGUUUUGCGGCUGCGAGCU